rnacentral:tRNA from 1 species
GCUCAUGUAGCUCAGGGGGUAGAGCACACCCUUGGUAAGGGUGAGGUCGACGGUUCAAUUCCGUCCAUGAGCU